rnacentral:misc_RNA from 1 species
ACACGAUCAACUCUAGUUAGAGUUGGCAUUGACCUCAUGCGCUAUUCAAGUGCAUUUGGUUUGAAUGGAUCAAGUUGAUGGGCUUCCCAGCGAUGCUCGAUGUGUGCUAGCGAGACAGUAGUCCCGAUCUCACAUUAUUGUAUCGUUGCAGAGCUCUAAUCACAGCUUGUUAACUAUCAUAUAUCUA